rnacentral:piRNA from 1 species
UGAGAGCAGCACUAACAGUAAGGCAAG